rnacentral:rRNA from 1 species
UACGUAGGCAGCAAGCGUUGUUCGGAAUUACUGGGCGUAAAGAGUGUGUAGGCGGUUUUCUAAGUUCGGUGUGGAAUCUCCCGGCUUAACUGGGAGGGUGCGCCGGAAACUGGAGGACUGGAGUGCCGGAGAGGAUAGCGGAAUUCCUGGUGUAGCGGUGAAAUGCGUAGAUAUCAGGAGGAACACCUGCGGUGUAGACGGCUAUCUGGACGGUUACUGACGCUGAGACACGAAAGCGUGGGUAGCAAACAGG